UACAGAGGGUGCGAGCGUUGUUCGGAAUUACUGGGCGUAAGCGCGCGCAGGCGGCUCUUUAAGUCUACCCGUGAAAUGCCGGAGCUCAACUCCGUGCACGCCGGGGGAUACUGGAGAGCUGGAGACGAGUAGAGGCAAGCGGAAUUCCGGGUGUAGCGGUGGAAUGCGUAGAGAUCCGGAAGAACACCGGAGGCGAAGGCGGCUUGCUGGGCUUGGUCUGACGCUGAGGCGCGAAAGCGUGGGGAGCGAACAGG
rnacentral:rRNA from 1 species